ACUAAAAUAUUCAAAAUGCCACAACGGGGGAAAUUGGCCAAGUUUGAGCUCCUUCUCUCCUCUCCACCUAAAACCUCUAUCGCUCUCAUCCCCUCACUCCUCUCCACCUAAAUCCCUCUCAUCCCUCGCUCAUCCGACUACCUCUCCGACGUGCCAUUCCGACUCCAUUCGACUACCUCAUCCGACACCACACUGGAAAGUUCUCAUACUUUGCUCAAUGCUCAUUCUCCUUCGACUUGGUGGUCAGCGAGAUACUCCUCUCAUGCUCCUCUCGUUCGACCACGCUCAUCUGACUCCUCUCAGUGCCGGAAACUUGUCAUACGCCGGAUUACCGACCAAUUGAAAACGAAUCUCAGCAUCACUGUCUGAUGUUUAUCCCUGCAUUCAACUUGAUAUUGUAAUGCUCUUCUCUCAUGGCUGCAAAUUCUGUUCACUAUGGUCUAGCUCGAAGAUUCAACAACAAAUGAACUGAAAAAUGAUACAAAGGAGGUGAUGUACACAAUUUUUGUUCUCCUUUUUAUUUUCUUUUCCCGGAAGCAUAAAAACUUCAUUUAGGUAAACUAAAUCAGGUUUUUAAAAGCUAUUUGUUUGCUAAACGCAAAUUAUCAAACUUUAAGAGCACUGGAUUCGGAUAAUGUUCCCACGGUUUCUUCAAUGACUGAGGAAGAGAUAUAUGUUCUUCCUGUUCAUAAGUACAAAGUUGCUGACUCCCAAAGGUUAGUUAUCAAGUACUACAAUAAUUCUUAGUAUAUCUGCUUCAAAGAGUCUCGUUUUCAUGCUGUCCGCAUCCAAGUAGCAGGAUCGAUUCUUUUUUUUUUUUUCUUUCUUCUUGUUGGAUUGAAUACGUCCCUCAUCAUUCAUACUUUCUGAAAUGCAAUAGAAAAAAGAAAAAGAAAAAAUGCACAUGCAAAUUAUUGGAUUUUUUAUUUUUGGAAAAUUAAAAAUUAAAUUGUUUUCAAUUCACCAGCCUCUCCACUUAUUGUUGUCUUGGUCCACAGGCAAAAUAGAUUGGUGACCUCUACUUAUGGACUUUUGUAAAUUAAAUAAUUAUUUAAAAAAAAAAAAACAAAUAAAACAAAAAAGAGUGGAUUUCUAUGUGAAACUCGUUUUCUGGACCACUUCCUUCUUUCAAAGUGUUUUCCCAAGUGAAGCCAGCAUAAUUGCAUUUGUCACAGACUUCAAACUACACACCUAGGCCCUAUCAAAUGUUUGUAUUUGUCGUUGAUGGGUAAGUGGUAGUUUUACUAUCUAUUGACAACUGAAGAAAAUGUGAAAGUCAGAGUGACUUUGCAAACUGCAAGAAAGAUUUCACGUAACUCUUAGAUCUGUUUUUCAAUCCAAACACUUUUUUUUUCCCCUUCAAAUGGAUAAAGAUUAAAUUACACUUCUCCUUACAAAGUUUAAACUUUUAAAAGAGUUAAUGGUUAACAAUCUAAUAUGUUAUUAGAACAGAUUAAAAUUUUACCACAUUUUCGGUGCACUACAAGAAAUUUUUCCAAAAUAAUUUCUUUCUUAAUGUGAAUUCAAGGUUGGGGAAAGACAGUUGAAUCCAAUCAUCUUCCCAAACACACAAAUUUUAGUCUUCUAAAAUAGCCAAAAACUAAAAUAGCCUACUCAAAUAGCAACUUCCCAAACACCCACAUAGAGGAACAUAUUGAUUUUGUUGCCAUUGCUGCAAGGUAUCAGCAAGUUAUUGAAUUGUGUCGAGUGCUCGGUCUCAGUGAUAGGAUUUCUGUUGAAUGUGAGGAUGCGAAUCUUUUCACAAGUGAUUGCAUGGUGGCGAUGGUGGGACUGUUGGUUUCAUCAGAGGUGUGGGAUCAUUUUCCUCUACAUAUUCUCCUUUCAUCUUCUCUCUCCUCCUUUCUUUCUUUCUCUCUCUCUCUCUCUAUAUAUAUAUAUAUAUAUAUCUAUAUGUGUGUGUGAAAGUGAGUAUAAGAUACUAGAACAGAGAAGGAUGAGAGAGGUUGAAGAAGAAGAAGGGGUUUUGGGGUUUGGAUUUGGAGAGGGUUUCAGGAGAUGGUGGAUUUGAGUAGAAGAGGGUGAGUUUGCAUCUUUCUUUUGAAAUCGGGGUCAAAUUGUAAUUUUUGAAAUUUUUCCAUUUCAAAUUUGACGGUAGGGGCUAAAUUGAUACGAUUUCAAAGAGUAUAGGGAUAAAAUUGACAUUAUUCAAAGUCUAGGUGUGUAAUUGAUCAUUGAGACAAAGUAUAGGGGCUAAGAAAUUCUCUGUGAUUUGGAUGAACAAAUGAGUAUGUCCCUCUGGUGUUAUUCUCUGUCUACCCUUGGGACAUCUCAUAUUUUACAUGUACAUUUCAAUUAUCGACGCUAACAAUGUCGUGACCCCCACGUGCUCU